rnacentral:rRNA from 1 species
UACGUAGGGUGCGAGCGUUGUCCGGAAUUAUUGGGCGUAAAGAGCUCGUAGGCGGUUUGUCGCGUCGGCCGUGAAAACUUGGGGCUUAACCCCAAGCCUGCUUCCGAUACGGGCGGACUAGAGGUAGGCAGGGGAGAACGGAAUUCCUGGUGUAGCGGUGAAAUGCGCAGAUAUCAGGAGGAACACCGGUGGCGAAGGCGGUUCUCUGGGCCUUACCUGACGCUGAGGAGCGAAAGCGUGGGGAGCAAACAGG